CAAGAUGGUAGUUUAAUUAAAAUGCUGGCAUUGGAAGCCAAUGAUUGGGGUAAUUCUCCCCACUUCUUGA
rnacentral:tRNA from 1 species